AGCAUAGGAAUGUGACAGCUUUGUCUGGGCUAAAUGCCCUACGAUAGAAUGGAAUUCUCUUGGAAAACUUUUUCUGCUCCUAAAUUACACAAUACACAUAAUAAUUUACUUCAAAAAUUGAAAACAGAUUUAGAUUUUGAGAAAUUUUAGCUGACGUUUUUGUGUGACCUAGGUGCUUGUGACAAUAGAUAUCAAAUGGGUCAAUCCAAUAAUGUUAACUUCCCUCAUCGUCAAAUCAUAGUAAAUCUUCAAGAUAUUGAUGCCUUCCCCAGAUCCAAUUCUUUGCUGCCUUCUCUUUUGCAGACAGCAGCAAAAUAAUGCUGCAACUUAAGAGCUUGUGGUGACUGCCACUUAGUUCUAAUUUAGGACAAUGUGACAUUGAGGGUAAUCCCUCACCAAUGUUAGAGUUGUUUGGAAACUGAAGAGAUAUUGCUGGAACUGAAGACUGAUAAUUUGUAUAGAUAUGUAGAUAAAUCACAAGCGCAUAUCUAGGCUCCCUUCUUUUCUGUGGCACCGUUUCCCUAACUAACCACUAACCAACACCCGCCGGUGGUCACUCACUCGCUUCGACAACCAGGAGGAAGGGAGUUCGCUGAUCGAACGGGGACUUGCAAGACGCAUGAUCCGAUGAAAACUUUAGGAGGGUCAUGAGUCUAAGCCGGAAGGCCACUGUGAUUAAUCGCUCUCGUAAAAACUGUUCCUCAACUCUUCGCUCUUUUUCCGGUUUCUCUUAAUCACGGCCGGGUAAUCUUCCUGGUCCAGUCAAUCAAGGCAGUGUCUCCCCCGCCUUGAUUGACUACAAUUUGAACCGGACGGUCAGUUUAUUGAAUUAUAAUGUAAUUUUGUUUUUCAUUUUGUAUUUCAUGUGAAUUUCUUUCGUACAUAAUGUAAUUUUAAAAUUUGAUAUAAAUGAAAACAACAAAUGAAUAUAAUUCAUUUCUUAUGAUUCUUACAUAAGAAAA